rnacentral:rRNA from 1 species
GACGAACGCUGGAGGCGUGCUUAACACAUGCAAGUCGAACGAUGAAAUGGAGCUUGCUCCAUGGAUUAGUGGCGAACGGGUGAGUAACACGUGAAUAACCUGCCCUUAAUUUUGGAAUAACCCAGGGAAACCUGGGCUAAUACCGGAUAAGUAAACCUGUGGCAUCACAUGGUUUUGGAAAGUUUUUCGAUUAAGGAUGGAUUCGCGGCCUAUCAGCUUGUUGGUGUGGUAAUGGCUCACCAAGGCGACGACGGGUAGCCGGCCUGAGAGGGUGAACGGCCACACUGGGACUGAGACACGGCCCAGACUCCUACGGGAGGCAGCAGUGGGGAAUAUUGCGCAAUGGACGAAAGUCUGACGCAGCGACGCCUCGUGAGGGACGAAGGUCUUCGGAUUGUAAACCUCUUUCAGCAGGGACGAAGCGAAAGUGACGGUACCUGCAGAAGAAGCACCGGCUAACUAUGUGCCAGCAGCCGCAGUAA